GAGUUUGAUCCUGGCUCAGAACGAACGCUGGCGGCAGGCCUAACACAUGCAAGUCGAGCGCGCCUUUCGGGGUGAGCGGCGGACGGGUUAGUAACGCGUGGGAAUAUGCCCUUUGGUACGGAAUAGCCUCUGGAAACGGAGAGUAAUACCGUAUGAGCCCUUCGGGGGAAAGAUUUAUCGCCAAAGGAUUAGCCCGCGUUAGAUUAGGUAGUUGGUGGGGUAAUGGCCUACCAAGCCUACGAUCUAUAGCUGGUUUUAGAGGAUGAUCAGCAACACUGGGACUGAGACACGGCCCAGACUCCUACGGGAGGCAGCAGUGGGGAAUCUUGGACAAUGGGGGCAACCCUGAUCCAGCCAUGCCGCGUGAGUGAAGAAGGCCCUAGGGUCGUAAAGCUCUUUCGCCUGUGAAGAUAAUGACGGUAGCAGGUAAAGAAACCCCGGCUAACUCCGUGCCAGCAGCCGCGGUAAUACGGAGGGGGUUAGCGUUGUUCGGAAUUACUGGGCGUAAAGCGCACGUAGGCGGAUCGGAAAGUUGGGGGUGAAAUCCCGGGGCUCAACCCCGGAACUGCCUCCAAAACUAUCGGUCUAGAGUUCGAGAGAGGUGAGUGGAAUUCCGAGUGUAGAGGUGAAAUUCGUAGAUAUUCGGAGGAACACCAGUGGCGAAGGCGGCUCACUGGCUCGAUACUGACGCUGAGGUGCGAAAGUGUGGGGAGCAAACAGGAUUAGAUACCCUGGUAGUC
rnacentral:rRNA from 1 species